ACAUGAAGCUCGUGUUGUGGCUGUCCCAACUGGGUGCCCAUAACCCUCCUGGGGAAUAGGUCAGCAACUAUCUCCGUGCAGCAGCUUGGAAAGAACUGGAGAUUUAUUGUCACUGGGGAGAGAUCUAAGCUGCAAAUGCCAGCCUGAUAGAUAUGAAUUGUUUAAAGGGCUGCUGGACUCAAGCCCUGAAUUUGUGUGCUGUAAACAUGUCCCCUCUUGGUCGUCUCUCUGGAGGAGACAGGAUGAGGCUUCUGUUCACCUCUCAUUGAAUUUCUUAUAUUUCUGAGGAGAAGAGCCCAUCUGAGAGCCUGCCCUUGUUUUUUAUUAUGUCAGUCAUUGCAACUUUUUUUAGUGAAUCACAUUCAUCAAUCUUAUCUCAGGAUCUAAUGCAGUUACUUUUCGUACAGCAGUGUGGAAGGGAAGAGGUUUUGCUUUGCACUAUGAAAUGCUCUAAUAUUUGCCCUGGGCUAUGAAAACCAACCAAGGCUGCAGUAAAUCUCACAGUCUCAAAGUAUUUCCUCUAGUAUGUGUUACUUCCAUUCCCCCAGCUCCUGCUGGGGAAGCCCCUGCUUGUUUAACUUGCUUUGUUCCCUAUCAGCUCCUUCAGGGUCAUUUUCCAGUUUCUCUGCGUGAGCCCUCUGUCCCAUGCAAAGUGUAACCUGCAAGAAAAAGAAAACCCACACAGUGUUUGAGCCUUGUGUGGAAGAAAGGAGGCUCCAGCCCUCCGAGACCAUCGUUGCACCACAGAGCCCAUUAAUCCGUCUCCAGCAAAUCAUCCCGUCUGAGAAUGCCUGGCCAGGAGCUCCAUGUGUGCCGUGAUUGUUAUCCUAAAAAGGUACUAAAAUGCCCAAAUACUGAAAGUGCUGGCCAAGCUGGCUGCCCAUCAGUGGAAAACCACAGAGCAUCGUUUUCUUACAUUUUAGUGAAAUUGUGAUGAUUUGAGAUCACAGAAUCACAGCUGUUGGAAGGGAUCUCAUCGAGUCCAACUCCCCUGCUAAAGCAGAUACCCUACAGUAGGUCACACAGGUAGGUGUCCAGACAGGUCAUGAGC